UAUACUUUAUAGAAGUAAAUCAAUAGGAGAGAAGCAGCUCGACUGUAAAGGAGAGGAGCGACCAGUUGGUUCACCAAACCCCGACCCAGCGUCCCACGUUCUCCAGGUUCGAAGGGACCAGUGCCAA